rnacentral:rRNA from 1 species
GACGAACGCUGGCGGCGUGCUUAACACAUGCAAGUCGAGCGGUAAGGCCCUUUCGGGGGUACACGAGCGGCGAACGGGUGAGUAACACGUGGGUGACCUGCCCUCAGCUCUGGGAUAAGCCUGGGAAACUGGGUCUAAUACUGGAUAUGACUCCACGGUGCAUGUCGUGGGGUGGAAAGCCUUGUGCGGCUGAGGAUGGGCCCGCGGCCUAUCAGCUUGUUGGUGGGGUGANGGCCUACCAAGGCGACGACGGGUAGCCGGCCUGAGAGGGCGACCGGCCACACUGGGACUGAGACACGGCCCAGACUCCUACGGGAGGCAGCAGUGGGGGAAUCUUGCGCAAUGGGCGAAAGCCUGACGCAGCGACGCCGCGUGAGGGAUGACGGCCU